AGUCGAACGGACUUAAUCGAAAUAUUUAUAUUUUGAAGCGGUUAGUGGCGGACUGGUGAGUAACGCGUAAGGAACCUGCCUAUUAGAGGGGAAUAACAGUGAGAAAUCAUUGCUAAUACCGCAUAUGCCAUAGAUAUCACAUGAUAACAGUGGGAAAGGAGCAAUCCGCUAAUAGAUGGCCUUGCGUCUGAUUAGAUAGUUGGUGGGGUAACGGCCUACCAAGUCGACGAUCAGUAGCCGGACUGAGAGGUUGAACGGCCACAUUGGGACUGAGAUACGGCCCAGACUCCUACGGGAGGCAGCAGUCGGGAAUAUUGCGCAAUGGAGGAAACUCUGACGCAGUGACGCCGCGUAUAGGAAGAAGGUUUUCGGAUUGUAAACUAUUGUCGUUAGGGAAGAGAAAGGACAGUACCUAAGGAGGAAGCUCCGGCUAACUACGUGCCAGCAGCCGCGGUAAUACGUAGGGAGCGAGCGUUAUCCGGAAUUAUUGGGUGUAAAGGGUGCGUAGACGGGAGAACAAGUUAGUUGUGAAAUACCUCGGCUCAACUGAGGAACUGCAACUAAAACUGUACUUCUUGAGUGCAGGAGAGGUAAGUGGAAUUCCUAGUGUAGCGGUGAAAUGCGUAGAUAUUAGGAGGAACACCAGUGGCGAAGGCGACUUACUGGACUGUAACUGACGUUGAGGCACGAAAGUGUGGGGAGCAAACAGGAUUAGAUACCCUGGUAGUCCACACCGUAAACGAUGGAUACUAGGUGUAGGAGGUAUUAAGCCUUCUGUGCCGUCGCAAACGCAGUAAGUAUCCCACCUGGGGAGUACGGCCGCAAGGUUGAAACU
rnacentral:rRNA from 1 species